CAAUCAGGAGCCGCGGCCACUUAGGGAUGCAAAUGAGGCAUCGGGUUUCAGGCGGCCCCUCUCGCUUCCUUAAGUGAAGGGGUAAUGGAGAGCAGCCGCGGUCGGGUCGCGCGCAUCCAUCCUCGCCUCUUAAAUGCUAAUGAAAUUUCUUCGUUCUCUUCAUUAGCCCGCCGUCAUUAUCAGUAAUUUGUAGUCUUCCCCUUUUUUGUCCCCCCCCCCCCCAUUCGCUGCCUUAAUGAAGGCAAGGUAUUGAGAGAAGGGCCCAGAGAGAGAGAUAUAGCGAGAGCGAGGAAGAGAGAAAGAAAGAGCAACCGCUCAAGGCAUUGUCUCAGCCUUCGGUCCGAAAUUACUCGUCGCCGGCUUCGAGAACUGACUUUGUCUGGUAUGUCCUAAAAGAUGAAUCAGUGUACGUAGAUGUGCGUGUCCCCAGGUAUCUAAUACGUCACACUGUCACCACCUAGAGGAUCACCGCUGCAUCGUCACAUUGGACUCUGGACUAGAUUACCGCAAGAGAUAAACUGGAUUACCGGCGGGAAAACUUUUUUCUUUUCUUUUUCUUUUUUUUACACGUAGAUGUAUUCAGUCUGUUCAGUUCUAAAUUAUGUUUGUUGAGCGUGAGUAUACACAGUGAGAGGUCAUCCAUAAGGAAAGAAAGAUUCAGGGAAUAAAAAAUGUAAACAAACGAACAAAAAAAACCAAUAACGACAACCUGCCUUUCAGUAACUCGAUACAACCCUGAGCUCUUCAAUAGCUGCCCUUUCAGUGUAUGCUAAUGUGUGUGUGUGUGUUGGUAGGUACCUGAUUGCCACUCGCUUCCAUUCACGCUCGCGCUGUUUGUUUAGAGCCCAACAUCCCGCGCUAUUGAGGCUCCCUGAAAAGCUAAACACAGCCGCACACCACUCUGUGUUUUGAUGUGAGCACUUCAGUCCUGGUUAAUUUCAUAUUCCGCUCUUUCUCUUUCACUCCCGCUCUCCGCAGAUCGAGUGAACUCGAUGCCGAGGUUGGUCGUGAAUGCGCUGUUCGGUGAAUUGGCUUCCAGACAAAAACGACAGUACGCAAGUUAAUUUCCUUUAGUUAAAAUAAUAGAGAGGAAGGAUGCGGCGGGGACAAUUUUCCGACACACUUGAGACUAGGCCCACGGAGCAAAGAACUUCUGAUGUUAGUGUUAGUUUUUGUGCAUUGUAGUUGUGUGUUUUGUGCGUGUGUUCAGUAACCAGACCAAGAGUGUUGAGCGUGCAGGGCAGAGAGGUGAUGUCGAACCGGACCUGUAGGACCGUCGCUGGAUGCACCUUCCAAGAGCUCUGUGAACACAUGAGUAAGGGGAAGUUAAAAAAAAAAAAAAGACAAGAGAUCAGUUCUCAGAAGAAGCUCACCGUUUAACCGCCAUCGCUACUUUUCAAAGACG